AUUGAACGCUGGCGGCGUGCUUAACACAUGCAAGUCGAUCGGUAACAGGUGUAGCAAUACAUGCUGACGAGAGGCGGACGGUGAGUAAUGCUUGGGAAUCUGCCUAUUAGUGGGGGACAACCCGGGGAAACUCGGGCUAAUACCGCAUACGCUCUACGGAGGAAAGCCGGGGACCGCAAAGGCCUGGCGCUAAUAGAUGAGCCCAAGUCGGAUUAGCUAGUUGGUAGGUAACGGCCUACCAAGGCGACAAUCCGUAGCUGGUCUGAGAGGACGACCAGCCACACCGGAACUGAGACACGGUCCGGACUCCUACGGGAGGCAGCAGU
rnacentral:rRNA from 1 species